rnacentral:lncRNA from 1 species
AAGAAUGACAAAUAUUAAUGACUUGGUAUUAGAAGUUAUAAAACUAAAACAAAUGAAAUUAAACCAUGAUAAUUAACCAACUCACGGAAGUUUUGGUUCCUCUGCGUCCUAGUAAGAACGGCAUUGUAGAAAUCAAAGACGGUGAAUUGGAAAGGAGCUGAUGCAGGAGAGUUUCUAGCCAUUUCGUUCAACAUCGGUCCAAUUUUUUCGUUGUGUUGUUUAGCCAAAUCGUUGAGUUUCUCAUAGCAUUGAUCCAUCCCGGUGUUGUAUUCUUGUCUGACGAUGGGUAAGCAACCCAAUGGAGCUAAGGUUUGGAUCACGAAUUUACUCGCUCCUGAUGAAUACAACGCGCUAAUAUCGUUCUUUAACUUGUUGGUCACGGAAGUAACAAAAGCUUGUUGAGCAGAUGCAUCAGCGGUAGGGUUGUUCUUGGUGAAAUUUAAGUAAUCGUUUGCACCAAUGUAUAUCAUAAAUACUGACUUUGCCACGAAAUCAUCGUUCCAAUUUGCUGCUUUCAUUUGAUUGAAUUUUUUCACUUGUUGAUUCAGAGUCAUCUAAAGAACCAAAAAAGAGAAAAAGACAAAAAUUAAACCAAUAUUAUAAGUGCAAUUAAAGUAAAGCUUAUUGAUAUUAAGUCACAUGCUUUUCUGUGAAGUAAAACAAAAAGAAUCCCGCUUAGUAUGACCGGGUCAAUAAUAGACAGAUAUAAUUGAUUUUCUUUGAAUUAGGUGUUGACUAUAGAUAUAUACAUGACUCUUAUAUAAUAAGAAAUUAAGUUUACUUACAGAUUCCACCGGAGCUCCGAGUAGAGUAGCACCUUCGACGGCGAAACUAGCUCCACGUGAGACAUUGACGUUCGGUUGAAGCGCCGGCGCGAUCGCGAGCGGAAUCUUCAUGAAUUUAGCUGCAUUUUGUAUUUUAAAAAUAUUUUAGUUUUUCAUAUAAUAUCAAAUCAUUCCUUGUACUACAUCUCCGAAUCUGUUGACGAAAAUAAUAAAUAAAAUUUCAUAGAAUGUGUCCCGAAAAGUGAAUAGCCGCUGAACCAAUGCAUUUAUAAUCUUUUUUUUAAUCAUACUAUUUACUAUUUUUUAAGUAAUUCACUAGUAGCAUACUUAAAAUGCAUUUAUAAAUACUACUGUUUAUGAUUAUUUUUACGUAAUCAUACUAUUUUUAACAUACUUAAUGUUUUAAAGAUUAGAGUAGGAUUCGAUUAGAAAAGAAGUCGUACCGAGGAAGUCCGGAGUGAUGAGGCCGUCGGAGAAUUUGCCGUUGGGAUCAUCUCGAGAUUUUCCGUACGGCCAGAAACCUUGAGCGACUAAGGUUUUGGUGAGAGUCUGUUUGUUUCCGGCGUCGAAGUUGGAGUCACCAAAGGUGAACAAGGCGACCACCGGACUAUUCUGUCCGGCGACAGUGAUGGGGUUGUGAAAGAGGGUCAAUACCAAAAUUACACAUAGAACACUGACUAAAUUACAGUUGUUUGCCAUCAUUUAGAGAGAGGGAGAAACAGAACUGUGAAAAGAGAAGAAGAUUGCUUUUGUGCCUUAGCUCGUAGACCGAUUCGUUAUAUUUAUAUUGCAAGUACUACAAUUUGGCAAUGAAAAUAAUAGUUCAUUUUACUAUACAAAUAAUAACGUGUAGCGCGAGGUUCAUUUUACUAUACACCUAUUUAACGCACUAGCAAACGAUUAUCGAUCAAUUAUAUUAUAUAGUUCGCUUAAUCACGUCUGACGCAUUACUGGUUUCUCUUCUACUUUAUUUUUAAUUCUCAACAAAAUAUCUAUUGUUACUACGAGUACCAAGAAAGAUCGUGCUUUUUUUUUUUUGGUUCAACAACAACUUACAAUUACACAAGAGUCUGAAUACACAUAAGCUUUAACCCAAUCCGGCAAUAUAGAAUACAAUUUGGGAUCAUAAUUCAGAAAAGAAAGAGAUUCCCUAGCAAUUCUAUCUGCCACACAAUUCCCUUCUCAUCGGGUAAAAGUCACUUUAACCUCUUCGAAGUGCUGAAAAGAUCGUGCAUUUAGAGGCAAGAAGUAGAAUUAAACAUACAAAUUUCACGGAAAUAUAGGGUGUAAAUGGUAACACUAAACCAGAUUCAGUAAUUUCUGCAGUAACCAUUUGCAUAAAACUAAAUUUUGCUGACUAGCCAAAUUCAACAAAAAAAUUUCAACACCAACAUAUACGUAGAUAUGUUUAUUUCUGCUAAAACUUUUGGAUAAUUUACGAGUACACAACUCGAAUUAAAAUAUUUUUAAUAUCAAAAUACAUAUCAAAUAGAUAUUUUUAAAUAAGUCAGAUUAUACUGAUACGAUAUAUGAAUAAUAUAGAUACAUAAAAUAUCACUACCAGAAUAGACAAGAGACGAAUAUGUUCGGAUAAUUAUAGAUAAUUUGGAUAAUAAUUUUAAUAACGUUUAGAUAACUUAAAUCAAUUAUUAAAAUUUUGCAAAAACAACUCAUACCUAUGCUAAGAUAUUCUUUAAAAGAUAAAUUAUAGUAAUUUCCUUAAUCAUCCUCAUCAUAUUAUUGAUUAAAUUACUUGAAAACAAUUAAAAAAAACAAUUAACAAUCUAUAUUUUAUCAUCAUGUUAAUUUUUGAAAUUAUUUUCUUAAUAGUGUUUUGACAAAGAUUUUCGUUAAUUAUUUACAUAUUUUUAAUAGUUCAAAUUUAAAUAAGAAAGAAUAACUCAAUUUUGCGUUGACACAAUCUUAAUAGUAUAGGUAAUAGCUUAGUUAUGUAUAUAUAAAUUAUAAAAACUUGUGGAGAGUUGUUCCUUAAGAUUUACAGUGAAGAUUAGAGAAGAUUAAGUUUUGAGAGAGUGUCUAUAUCAAAUACAGAAGAGUUGGUCCUUAUUCGUUUGUAAGUUCUAGUAAUUAUCAAUUUGAUUGGAAUCAUUAGAACGACAGAAAGGUGAACAAUUUUGUUUCUAAAAGAGUGCAGAAACUAGAUAAAAAUAAAACACAUUUGCUUACGUGAAGAUGAAGUUUUAUAUGAAGAACGCCUCAUUUGUUUGGUUCAUCUAUUAUCUAUAUAUAUGAUUUUUGGUUUUAUUUCAUAUGAAAAUUAACUGUAAAUAUAGCCGGCCCCAAAGCCAGAUGUAUAAACUUAUCUUUUCUGGAACUUUAUAAUUUCUACUUUUUAUUUUCUUUGUUGCCAAUCAUUUCGAAUAUUACCUUGCAAGAAUAAUUGCAAACAAAAAAAGAGGGUAAAAAAGGUCUCAAAUUGAAUCCACUACCUUCUUAAAUUGAUUCCACCAAAAUUUAUCAUUUUGUUCUAAUGGAGUGCAUGUGGCCCGAAACUUGUCUAAUCUGAGCACAAAGCAGGUCAUUGGACACGCUUUGGUUCAUAUUGUCAGGUUUAUCACGUUACUCAUUGAGAUUUUUCUUAUGGAAAAAACAGAGUUGAGGUUACAUUAUUAUUUUAAAUCUCAACAAAUUAAUAACAGCGCAUUUCAAAUUCCAAGAGCUCGUUCAUGGUAUAGAGAUGGAAAAUAGUGAGCUCAAGAACUAAACGAGUUAGAUAGAUUCACUAGCAUCGACGUCGACGUCAUGGACUAACGAUGAUAUUCUCAUCCAUUGGAUCCUCCCAAAACUCACGCAUAGGCUCAUUAACAGGAUACACAAUGAGCUCACGAACAUUCAUAGGUUGGAUAACAUUUGGGUCCGCUCCAAAAGAUAAGAUGAUGAGAAAACGCUUCUUGUGCCUUCUUUUUUUAAUUAUGGAAUUACCUUUUAAUAUGUGGUUGACAAAAAAAAGAAAUAAAUUUAUGUAAAAGUUUUGUUUCUUUUAAAUAAAAGAUUUGCAAGGGGUAAGAGUUGCAGAGAUCAAUCUUUUAUUAUGGAGGAAAACUCACUAGAGAAACAUGAAAACAUUGGAAAUUAAAACUACUCAAGAUUCCGAUAUUGAUCCAGUUAUAAUUUGACUCAUAACCCUUAUAGAAACCCCGAUCGAUCCCUAAAUAUUGAUUUUAGAGACUCAGUAAUACUCGUAACCGCGGCUCUCCCUGAGUUGAACGGUGGCUGACGUUGGGGGCACCCAAGACUCACGCAUAGGUUCAUCGGCAGGGUAAACGACAAGCUCACGGAUGUUCAUCGGUUGGAUAACAUUUGUAUCGGCUCCAAAAAGAAGAUGACCAAACAUCUCUUGCGCCUUCUCAGUGUUGUGACGUCCGUCGAAGAAUAGGUAAGACCGUUGGUACUCGCAUAGCCUCGAAUGUACGUUAGGAAAACCGCAACCAUAAGCAUCAUGUGUCCCAACUCCGCAGCACGAUGCGUUCGUAACGAAAAAUCCUAAGAAUGGCAAAUAUUAAACACAUGGUAUUAGAAGUUAUAAAAAAAUUUAAAAAUGAAAUUAAACCAUGAUAAUUAACCAACUCACGGAAGUUUUGGUUCCUCUGCGUCCUAGUAAGAAUCGCGUUGUAGAAAUCAAAGACGGUGAAUUGGAAAGGAGCUGAUGCAGGAGCUGUUCUAGCCAAUUCGUUCAACAUCGGUCCAAUUUUUUCGUUGUGUUGUUUAGCCAAAUCGUUGAGUUUCUCAUAGCAUUGAUCCAUCCCGGUGUUGAACUCUUGUCUGACGAUGGGUAAGCAACCCAAUGGAGCUAGGGUUUGGAUCACAAAUUUACUCGCUCCUGAUGAAUACAACAAGCUGAUAUCGUUCUUUAACUUGUUGGUCACGGAAGUGACAAAAGCUUGUUGAGUAGAUGCAUCGGCGUUAGGGUUGUUCUUGGUGAAAUUCAAGUAAUCGUUUGCACCAAUGUAUAUCAUAAACACUGACUUCUUCACGAAAUCAUCAUUCCAAUUUGCUGCUUUCAUUUGAUUGAACUUUCUCACUUGUUGAUUCAGAGUCAACUAAAAAAACAAAAAAAGACAAAAAGACAAAAUUAUAAUUGCAGUUAAAGUCAGAUGUCUUUAAUAAAACAAAAAUAUGCCGUUUAGUAUGAUCCAGGCUAGUCCAUAAGACAGGUCAAGCACAUGCUUUAGACCAGAAGAUAUAUACUAAAUCAUUCGCCAAAAAAAAUAAAAACAGUAAUUUGGUAAAACCUUUAAUAUAUUUUAUAUCAUUAAGAAGGCCAUCUUCCAAUUGUGCUAAGGCCACCUGAAGGUAAAUUAAGGACCGGCUAUGUAUGACCGGGUCAAUAAAAGACAGACAUGGUUCAUUUAUUUUGAAUAAGAUGAUUAUAGUAAGAAAUUAAGUUGACUUACAGAUUCCACCGGAGCUCCGAGUAGAGUAGCAUCAGCGACGGCGAAACUAGCUCCACGUGAGACAUUGACGUUCGGUUGAAGGGCCGGCGGGAUCACGAUCGGAAUCCUCAUGAAUUUAGCUGCAUUUUGUACAUUAAAUAUAUUAGGUUUUCAUAUAAUACAAAUAUAAUCUCCGAAUCUGUUAACGAAAAAAAAUCAAAAAAAAAUCCAUGUGUUUCGAAAAGUGAAUACCAGCUGAACCUUUUUUAUUUUUAAAAUAUUUUAACCGUUAUUUUUAGUAAUUAACUAAUAUCCAACACUCGUCAUUUGUACUAACGUUUUAAAUGAUAAAAAAUAUCAUUUUGCAUGUUUUAUGUUUUGUAGAAUUCGGAUUAAGAUCUUUCAGUUAUACAAACAAAAAAAUGUCGCACCGAGGAAGUCUGGAGCGAUGAGGCCGUCGGAGAAUUUGCCGUUGGGAUCAUCUCGGGAUUUUCCAUACGGCCAGAAAGUUUGAGGGAGUAAGGUUUUGGUGAGAGUCUGUUUGUUUCCGGCGUCGAAGUUGGAGUCACCAAAGGUGAACAAGCCCACCGCCGGAAUAUUCUGCCCGGCGACGGUGAUGGGUUUGUUAAAGAGGGUCAAUACCAAAAAUACACAUAGAACACUGACUAAAUUACAGUUUUUUGCCAUCAUUUAGAGAGUAUACAGAGAGAGAGAAAGUGAAACAGAACAGUAAAUGAGUAGAAGAUUGCUUUUGUGUCUUAGCUCGUAGACCGAUACGUUAUAUUUAUAUUGUAAAUACUACACAAUUUGGCAACUGAAUUUUUUUUAUCAAAAAGAUUGUUUUUAAGAAAAAAGCAAUUUAGCAAUUGAAAAAUAUUGUUAUUUAAAUAUGAAUAUAUGAUAACGUGUUGCUCGAGGUUCAUUUUUUUCUUUUUUCUACACACCUAGUUAAUGCACAACUGGUAUCCCAUUUCUAUUUUAUUUAUUCUUAAUUUUCAAGAUACAUUUAUUGUUACUAGUAUCAAGAAGAUCGAUCAUGCAUUGAGGGCAGAAGAAGAUUUAAAUGCAUAUUCCUAUAUUUCAAUAAAAUAUAUAAAAAAACAUGUCAAAUGGAACCUCUCACCUAUGAAAACGUAACUAAGAAAAUACUCCAUGCAUUUCAGAUCAAGUGUUCGUUUUUUUUAAAUACUACAAACUAAAAAAAAAUUGUUUUACUAUGAUUAAUUCAUUCUAGUUAACACAUUAAAACAGUAUAAAUAAAAUUUGGAACUUUAACCAAAAUUUUAUAUUAAAACCUAAAACAACACUUAUUAUAAAAUAAUUUUGGAACAGUUAAAAAUUGAAACCAUUUCCACUAUUUCAUUACAACAAGAAUUGCAAAAAAAAACAAAAAAAAAAGUAAAUAAAAUGACUCAAGUGAGUUAUGUAAUUUGAAAUCCAUAAGUCUUAAAUGAUUCCACCAAAUUCAAUCAUUUCGUUCUAAUGAGUGCGUAUGGCCCGAAACUUGUCUAAUAUGAGCACAAAGCAGGUCAUAUAUAUGCUUUGGUUAUAUUCUCAGGUCUAUCAAAUUACCCAUUAAUUGAUUAUUUUUUUCUUAUGAAAAUAAGCAGAGUUGAGGAUUUAAACAGUAUUAAUUAUUUUACUUCGCAACUAAUUAAGAACAAUACAUUACAAAUUCCAAGAGCUCGUACGUGAUCUAGAGAUAGAAAAUAGUGAGCUCAAGAACUAAACGAGGUAGACAGAUCCACUAGUAUUGGACUAACGAUAACUUCUCAUCCAUUGGAUCCUCCCAAAACUCACGCAUAGGCUCAUUAACAGGAUACACCAUGAGCUCACGAACAUUCAUAGGUUGGAUAACAUUUGGGUCAGCUCCAAAGAUAAGAUGAGCAAACGCUUCUUGUGCUUUCUCUGUGUUAUGACGUGCGUCGAAGUAAAGGUAGGAUCUUUGAUAUUCGCAUAACUUCGAGUGCACGUUAGGUAAACCACAACCAUAUGCAUAAUGCGUCCCAACACCGCAACACGAUAUAUUCGUCACGGAAAACCCUAAUUAGUCAUAACAACAAGUAUUAUUAAAUGUUUGCUUCAAAGUAAAAGCAUAUAACGAUAUUAAUGAUAGUGUGGAACUUUGAAUGGCGAAUUGUAACUCACGGUAGUUCAUGUUUCUUUGUGUCCUGCGAAGAAUAACGUUGUAGAAAUCGAAAACGGUGAAUUGGAAAUCCGGUUUAGUUUCCGCCAUUUCGUUCAAAAUCGGUCCAAUUUUAGCGUUGUGUUGUUUGGCCAAAUCAUUGAGUU